AGCUCAGUCGGUAGCGCAUCCCAUUCGCGUACGCGUGGUCCCGGGUUCGAUUCCUGGCU
rnacentral:tRNA from 1 species